GAUGAACGCUGGCGGCGCGCCUAAUACAUGCAAGUCGAGCGAACAGACGAGGAGCAUGCUCCUCUGACGUUAGCGGCGGACGGGUGAGUAACACGUGGAUAAACUACCUAUAAGACUGGGAUAACUUCGGGAAACCGGAGCUAAUACCGGAUAAUAUAUUGAACCGCAUGGUUCAAUAGUGAAAGACGGUUUUGCUGUCACUUAUAGAUGGAUCCGCGCCGCAUUAGCUAGUUGGUAAGGUAACGGCUUACCAAGGCAACGAUGCGUAGCCGACCUGAGAGGGUGGUCGGCCACACUGGAACUGAGACACGGUCCAGACUCCUACGGGAGGCAGCAGUAGGGAAUCUUCCGCAAUGGGCGAAAGCCUGACGGUACAACGCCGCGUGAGUGAUGAAGGUCUUCGGAUCGUAAAACUCUGUUAUUAGGGAAGAACAAAUGUGUAAGUAACUAUGCACGUCUUGACGGUACCUAAUCAGAAGGCCACGGUUAACUACAUG
rnacentral:rRNA from 1 species